rnacentral:rRNA from 1 species
UACGGAGGGGGCAAGCGUUGUUCGGAAUCACUGGGCUUAAAGCGUGUGUAGGUGGAUUUGUAAGUACCUUGUGAAAUCCCAUGGCUCAACCAUGGAACUGCUUGGUAUACUGCGAAUCUUGAGCCACUUAGGGGCUACCGGAACAAAUGGUGGAGCGGUGAAAUGCGUAGAUAUCAUUUGGAACGCCAAUGGUGAAAACAGGUAGCUGGGAGUGUGCUGACACUGAGACACGAAAGCCAGGGGAGCGAACGGG